GAUCAAGUGUCUUAAGGGCAAUUGGUGGAUGCCUUGGCAUGCACAGGCGAUGAAGGACGUGAUACGCUGCGAUAAGCUACGGGGAGGUGCGAAUACCCUUUGAUCCGUAGAUUUCCGAAUGGGGAAACCCACCUAAGGUGCUUGGAAAAUCAGAGUAGCAGGGCAACCUGCUGCUGUGGUUUCCAAGUAUCGAUAAUAGGUAACUUACCCUGAAUAAAAUAGGGGUAAAGUGGCGAACGCGGGGAACUGAAACAUCUAAGUACCCGUAGGAAAGGACAUCAACCGAGACUCCGGAAGUAGUGGCGAGCGAACCCGGACCAGGCCAGUGGCGAUGAUGAGACAAGCGGAACCUUCUGGAAAGUAGGGCCAUAGUGGGUGACAGCCCCGUACGCGUAAUGCAAAUCAUCGUCCUCGAGUAAGGCGGGACACGUGAAAUCCUGUCUGAAAUUGGGGGGACCACCCUCCAAGCCUAAGUACUCGUGCAUGACCGAUAGCGAACUAGUACCGUGAGGGAAAGGUGAAAAGCACCCCGACAAGGGGAGUGAAAGAGUACCUGAAACCGAUUGCCUACAAACAGUGGGAGUCCAAGGUUCGUCCUGGGUGACCACGUACCUUUUGUAUAAUGGGUCAGCGACUUAGUGUGACGAGCAAGCUUAAACCGCUAGGUGUAGGCGCAGCGAAAGCGAGUCUGAACAGGGCGUUCAGUUCGUCGCAUUAGACCCGAAACCGAGUGAUCUAGCCAUGAGCAGGUUGAAGGUAAGGUAACACUUACUGGAGGACCGAACCCAUAACUGUUGCAAUAGUUCGGGAUGACUUGUGGCUAGGGGUGAAAGGCCAAUCAAACUCGGAAAUAGCUGGUUCUCCGCGAAAUCUAUUUAGGUAGAGCGUCGACCGAAUACCCCAGGGGGUAGAGCACUGGAUGGGCUAGGGGUCCUCACCGGAUUACCAAACCUAACCAAACUCCGAAUACCUGGGAGUACUAGUCGGCAGACACACGGCGGGUGCUAACGUCCGUCGUGAAAAGGGAAACAACCCUGACCUACAGCUAAGGUCCCCAAGUUAUGGCUAAGUGGGAAAGGAUGUGAGGAUCCCAAAACAACCAGGAUGUUGGCUUAGAAGCAGCCAUCAUUUAAAGAAAGCGUAACAGCUCACUGGUCUAAAUAAGGGUCUUUGCGCCGAAAAUGUAACGGGGCUCAAGCCAUACACCGAAGCUUAGGGUUCGUGAGCAAUCACGAGCGGUAGCGGAGCGUUCUGUAAGCUGAUGAAGCCAUACCCGUGAGGGGUGGUGGAGGUAUCAGAAGUGCGAAUGCUGACAUGAGUAACGUAAGGGGAGUGAGAGACUCCCCCGCCGAAAGUCCAAGGGUUCCUGCUUAAAGCUAAUCUGAGCAGGGUUAGCCGGCCCCUAAGUCGAGGCAGAAAUGCGUAGACGAUGGGAACCACGUUAAUAUUCGUGGGCCUGGAGGAAGUGACGGAUCAUUGAGGUAGUCCAAUCUUAUCGGAUUGAAAGGGCUGCUGCGUGGUUCCAGGAAAUAGCUCCUCCUUAUAGACCGUACCCGAAACCGACACUGGUGGACUGGUAGAGUAUACCAAGGCGCUUGAGAGAACUAUGCUGAAGGAACUCGGCAAAUUGCACGCGUAACUUCGGAAGAAGCGUGACCCUUUUCCACGCAAGUGGAGGAGGGUGGCACAGACCAGGGGGUAGCGACUGUUUAUCAAAAACACAGGGCUCUGCGAAGUCGCAAGACGACGUAUAGGGUCUGACGCCUGCCCGGUGCUGGAAGGUUAAGAGGAGGGGUGCAAGCUCUGAAUCGAAGCCCCAGUAAACGGCGGCCGUAACUAUAACGGUCCUAAGGUAGCGAAAUUCCUUGUCGGGUAAGUUCCGACCUGCACGAAUGGCGUAACGACUUCCCCGCUGUCUCCAGCAUAGACUCAGUGAAAUUGAAUUCCCCGUGAAGAUGCGGGGUUCCUGCGGUUAGACGGAAAGACCCCGUGCACCUUUACUAUAGCUUUACAUUGGCAUUCGUAGUGGCAUGUGUAGGAUAGGUGGUAGGCUUUGAAACCUGGGCGCCAGCUCAGGUGGAGCCACCCUUGAAAUACCACCCUUAUCACUAUGGAUGUCUAACCGCGGCCCGUUAUCCGGGUCCGGGACAAUGUAUGGUGGGUAGUUUGACUGGGGCGGUCGCCUCCUAAAGAGUAACGGAGGCGCGCGAUGGUGGGCUCAGAACGGUCGGAAAUCGUUCGCUGAGUGCAAUGGCAUAAGCCUGCCUGACUGCGAGACUGACAAGUCGAGCAGAGACGAAAGUCGGUCAUAGUGAUCCGGUGGUCCCGCGUGGAAGGGCCAUCGCUCAACGGAUAAAAGGUACGCCGGGGAUAACAGGCUGAUGACCCCCAAGAGUCCAUAUCGACGGGGUUGUUUGGCACCUCGAUGUCGACUCAUCGCAUCCUGGGGCUGGAGCAGGUCCCAAGGGUAUGGCUGUUCGCCAUUUAAAGCGGUACGUGAGUUGGGUUCAGAACGUCGUGAGACAGUUCGGUCCCUAUCUGCCGUGGGUGUAGGAAUAUUGAAAGGAUCUGUCCCUAGUACGAGAGGACCGGGAUGGACGGAUCUCUGGUGGACCUGUUGUGGCGCCAGCCGCAUAGCAGGGUAGCUAUAUCCGGACGGGAUAACCGCUGAAGGCAUCUAAGCGGGAAACCCACCUUAAAACGAGUAUUCCCUGAGAACCGUGGAAGACGACCACGUUGAUAGGCCGGGUGUGGAAGAGCGGCAACGCUUGAAGCUUACCGGUACUAAUAGUUCGAUCGGCUUGAUCGUUCUCAUU
rnacentral:rRNA from 1 species